AGCAUUCCAACACAUGUUACAUAUAUUAUUAACCAAUUAAGAGAUAAUAAAAAGGUAUGAUAACAAAUAAAUACAGAAAGUCUCAAUUAUCUUAUUGAAGACCGAACAAUCAACACUAACAAUGUGAACAAAAUACAUAUAUAUACGUGCUUGCAAAUUCCACCAUGACCUUCAAAGAAAAAUGCGUGCUAAAUUUGGGCUCUCUUUACAUUUUAUGAAUGUGCAAAGUUACCAUAAUAAACUAAAUAAUUUUGUUAGUUGACAGCGUGUGAGAAAGAAACAAAUCCCACAUAUGGAAUACUGCAAAAGAACAUAAAAUGAGUCACAAAAUUAGUGAAGUUCCACCAUGGCUCAAAAGGGAAAAUAAAGACAAAUAGGCAUGGAUAAGGAUAACCUGCCUUGUGUAAUUUCCUCCUUUCACUAAUUCGAGUUCAAUUUACCACCUCAUGGAUAUAACCUAAAAUAUAAACUAUACUAUCACUACUAAAAGAAAGAAGAAAAGUCUUUCACCACACGAAUUCUUCAAAAUAUGGUAAACAUAGAUAAAAGAACACAAUAAAAAAGAAGCCAAAAUAAAUCUGACAAUUGAUUUUAAAGUUUUAUAUAGAACACAUAGUCGCUGACCACUGGUGGUAGAUACCUCUUGCAAUUCACUGCUUUUCUUAGAUCCCCCGGAUUUUCUUAUCACUUACAAUUUAUUUAUACUAAGCUUUUUGAAAAAGAAAAUGAAAGAAGAUUAAUUGCCACCAUUAUGUUAAAUGUUGUAACCUUCCCAUAACCAAGAAGGUGUCGUUUCAAAUUGCGAAUGUUAUUUGUAUUAAUUGUUGCAGCCGUUCCACUCUUUUUGGAAGAACAUGAUUUUUGGAACAUAAAUUGCAAUACUAAAUUGAAGUUCCUAUUAUGAUAGAGACAUAAUAAAUGGAAAAUAAUAGGGGAAAAGCAAGAAAAAACGGGAAAAGGAUAAAUGGGAAAUCUCUACCUCUCCGUCUUCACCCACAAGAUCAUACAAUCUCAACAUCAUUGUUGUGUCCCUGCCAAAGAGACCUAUGUUAGCUGAUUCCAAAUUUGAUUUUUUAGUAAAAAGAUGUUCAUAUUAAAUAUUGGUAAGUAACACAUGAUAGAAAGACCACACUAUAGCUCUGCUGCAAUAGCAAGUAAGAAUAAAACCAUACAAUUAAUAUAAGAAAAUACCAGUUUAUAGAGGCAUAAGUAGGAGAAAAAUGAUAAGAAGUUCCUUAAGUACUGCACUUGGAAUUCUUGUUAAUUAAUCUUUUGCUGCUUGCCUGAAGCUGAUAACCAUGAAAAUUAAUACUACAAUACACAUCUUGAAUGAUUAGCUUAGCAUGAACCCCAUUUCUAACAAUAACCUGAUGUAUAACGGAGGUCUAAUAAUGAUUACCCAUUUGAGUUGUUCAAAAUUGCUCGAAUAACAUUUCAAUCAAGAAAAAGCAAUCAUUUUAUAUAUUCAAUUUACCUGAUGCACUAAUACCAACCAAACUACUUCAGCCAUUUCUCGUUUUCAUUUCCAACUCAAAGAAACCAAAUAAAUAAUUCAGCAUGAUACUAAUUAUAGCAGCAUUUGUUUCUCUUCUUUUAUUAGUAUAUUUAAGAAACAACAUAAACAAAUCCACAAUAUGCAAUCAUUUUCUACUACUCAUAUAAUGCUCCAAACAUCUAAAAUUUUACCAAAUUAACGAUCAAUUCAUCGCUCAACUUCUGCGCACCGAAUCUAUUUUAAGAUUUUAUGUUUUUUUGACCUAAAGGUAAAUCACCAAUAGCUAUAAGACACUAUUUUGAUUUACAAUUUUUUGGGAGUCCUAAAUUGUUUAUCAGCUUUGUAUCGAGGUACUUAGAAUAUCAAUACCCACCUUAAGCAUAAUAGAUAGAACUUAAUAUUGUUGUGUGCUUAGUAUCUUGAUUAAUACAUGUAUAUCAUUUAUGCGGGGGCUAUGUUAUAUCUCUAACAUAUCCCUCAUUUUGAUUCAUUGGUCAGUGCCAUCAAUUCUACUAUUUAGUCUUUUUCCUCGUACAACAAAUCUUACUUGGUCUUUCCUAAAGUUAAGGUCAUUAUUUCACAGCUGAUCAGGUAGUUCAAUAAUGUUAAAAAGCUUAAACAAUUCCAUAAGUUCGUGCAGAAAAUGCUAAAAUGGCUACACAUUAGAAAAUUCACAAAAAAGGCAGCAAUAAAAAUUCAAAUAAGCAAAGUAAGCAGUGGAAAGCAACAUCUAUAUGGAAUGUUUAAUAUUUUAUUUUUUGGGUUUCUACCUUAUUAGUUAUCUUCAAAUUAAGUUAUCAUGUCAUCUUUUAGAAUGUCUCCAAGUUUCAACUUCUUAUCUUAAAAAUAUGCUUUCUCAAGAAUGAGAAAUAAGAUGAGGAAAAAUGACUAUAGGAACACGAAAAAAAAGUACCUUGUACUGGACAAAAAGAGACCACAUACCUAAUACAGAAAACAACAGUGGCAACAUCUGCAUCGCAUAGAACGGAAGGUCCCCAACUUCUUCAAAAAAUCCAACAAGCUUCUUCUAGAGUCUGCCUUUCAUCCAACUUUCCUGCAAUUCACAUUCUCUGUCAAUAUUCACCAAAAGCCAACUUUAUUCUCUGGAUAAAAAGAACUCUACAACGAUGUCUUCUCUAAUGUUCUUAUUAAACAGAAAGUGCAUAAAGGAUGGGGCAAAAUAAGGGGCAAGGACAGGGAGAAACACAGGAAGAAUGCAGAUAAGGAGAGAAAUCUGGUAGCGAAUGCUGCAUGUAAUAGAGCACCAUAUUGCUACCUCCUAGGCAUGUGGAGGACUAUCCAUAUGCGCAAUGUUUGUGCAGAAAAAUAGAUUAAUCAAUCGCUAAUUUGACUGUGAGGCAAUGUUACAUCCUCACAUAAAAUGAAACACAAAACAGAAAUCGACAGACAAUACAAAUAAAUUCUUUGUAUUAGGAGACACAAUCUAAAAAUGCCAAGAUAAUAUAUGUUGUUGCACGACUAUCCGACAUCAAAAGUAUGAGAUGGUAUUGAAAAUACAUUCUACCAUUUACGAUAUAUAACGCAUGGUCCUAAAGUGAAUUUGAAUGUUUAAAAUCAAAUGCUUAUAACUGAAUCUGAUCUAAAAGAGAUUAAAACCCAAAAGCAUACACGUAGUACCUAAUGCAUCUCUACCCCUUAUAUGAAGAGCAAUUUGAAGGAGUUUAAAAAUAUAUACUUUGAUGACCACAUCAUUAAGGAAAAGUAGUUCCAAUUCUUUUUCUUGUAGCGCUAAAGCAGAAAACAUACUUUGUUUAUUUAAUACAAAGAGAACAAUAAACCUCAAAAGACAACAUUAAUAGAACCAAAAAGACCACAUAAUUUAAUUACCGUGAAAAAAAGUAUAGACUAUACUGAAUCUCAAAACUUGGAGCAGCUUCAACUUUAGUAUAUCUUUCAGCACGAACCUACUUUCACCUCACAAUAUAGCGUUUGUGAGUAUUGCUCAAAGGGGGAAAUUCAAUCUGAGAGUGAAAUAUAUUAUAAAAUUGACGAAAAAAAUAUUCACAUGUAUGUAAAAAAUCCAAUGUAAACAUCCAUUUAGCAAAAAAUGAAUUGCAGAAAAACCCCACCAAAAUAAAGAGCUUACACUUUGAAAGAUGAACGCCAUAGGAAGAAGCUAGAAUUUGAGAUUGAAGAAAGAAACAUACAGAUAUAGGAAUAGAGAAAGAGAAGGCAAAAGAGAGAAAUAGAUAAAAU
rnacentral:lncRNA from 1 species